AGGUAGUUUUAUAUAAAUGAAACCUAUUUAUUUUGGUGGUAUCUUAUUAUUAUUAGAGGAAUUUGUCCUUUAAUCGACAAACCCCGGUAAUUUUAACUUAAUUUAAAAAUUUAUAUACCACCAUCUACAAAGAACUAAUUAUAAAAAUUACUCAAAACAUUAACUAAAAAGUUAGGUCAAGGUAUAAUCAAUAUUUAAGUUUGAGAUGAAUUACUUUAAAAUAAAUUUAAGGAAUAUUUUUUUAUAUAAAAACAUAAAAAAGGAUUUAAUAGUAAUAAAAAUAUAAAAUUUUUAUAUGAAUUAAAUAAUAAAUAUAU
rnacentral:rRNA from 1 species